rnacentral:rRNA from 1 species
UACGUAGGGUGCAAGCGUUGUCCGGAAUUACUGGGAGUAAAGCGUGCGUAGGCGGUUUGUUAAGUCUGCUGUGAAAUCCCCGGGCUCAACCUGGGAAUGGCAGUGGAUACUGGCAAGCUAGAGUGUGUCAGAGGAUGGUGGAAUUCCCGGUGUAGCGGUGAAAUGCGUAGAGAUCGGGAGGAACAUCAGUGGCGAAGGCGGCCAUCUGGGACAACACUGACGCUGAGGCACGAAAGCGUGGGGAGCAAGCAGG